rnacentral:sRNA from 1 species
AACGGUCACAUCUUCGCUCUCCCCGCAGGUACGGCCGGUGAUUGCUUUCCAAGGCCACCGAGGGUAUCUGAGACUCCCAGGCCCUGGUUGGUCCUGCCUCUUCUCCUUCAUAGUGUCCCAGUGUUGCCAGGAGGGCGCUGGUGGUAGCUUGGACCUUGUGUGCCAACGCUUCCUCAGGUCUGGGCCUAACAGCCUCCACUGCCUGGGCUCACUCAGGGAGCGCCUCAUUAUUUGCGCAGCCAUGGAUUCUAUCCCAGCCCCAUCAUCAGUUCAGGGACACAACCUGACUGAAGAUGCCAGACAUCCUGAGAGUUGGCAGAACACAGGAGGCUAUUCUGAAGGAGAUGCAGUAUCACAGCCACAGAUGGCACUAGAGGAGGUGUCAGUGUCAGAUCCACUGGCAAGCAACCAAGGACAGUCACUCCCAGGAUCCUCAAGGGAGCACAUGGCAC